rnacentral:lncRNA from 1 species
AUUUAUAUUAAAAUAAUAUAAAUGUAGGACCCACACAUAUCCUUGGGUUAAUUUAACACGAGACUUGCAAAAUGCCUCUGAUCUUUCAUCUCCUUGGACCAUUUCUCCUUCAACUGUUGCUCAGGUUUUUCAUCCCUCUCUCAUUCAUCGUUCAAAAUUCUUAGAUAAUAAAUUCAGCCAUGGAAAUAGCACAAAAGCAUAAAAAUAGGCAAAACAAUAUGUUGAGAAACCAGGAAAAAUAUAAUCAUCCUUCAUUGAGUUAACCCAACAAGUCAGAGCCGACUCAGAGCGUCCGACCAUCGUUUUCGAGAAAUUUAGAGCGGAGCACAACUGAAAUAAACUGACCUCAGGCGAAAAACAAUAAUAUGAUGUUUGAUUAAACUUCUGAUUGCUCAGCUGCACAAAUCCAAGCUUUAAACUUUUGCAACUCGCCACCGUCUUCGAUGCGAUUCGACGUCCUUUGAUGAGCGACAACAGUUGAAACUAAAGGGGAACAAACCCAGUGCAGUCUACAUUCGUUUGGAUAUCGUCAUUUUGAUUAUAUUAAACAUAAUAGAUCAUGUUGCCAUGUGCAUGAUCUCAUCUCUCCAUUGUAUCAUUUUCAAAUUUUCAUAAGCAGCCAUCUUAUGGCAGAAAAAAAAUAUAUUUAUCAUGAAAAGCCAAAUGAAAAUAAAAAGGAAAAGUGUUGUUUUUCUUUCAAAAUUUCCUCUUUGAAUUAAAAUAAAAUAGAAAAAAUUACAAUAAUGCGUGUAUGAGAUUUUGAUACUUUGAAACUGUUGCUAUUUGAUAAGAGACUCAAAAC